rnacentral:rRNA from 1 species
GGCUUCCCGAGUAACAUGGGAAGUCGUGCCUUCCCGGUGAGUCUUCGGGCUUAAACGGAUGCGGUAAAUUGCAAGAAAGUAGCUAAAUUACGGCCUAUUAAUUGUAGGUCAUGUGAAUGGUUUGACGAGUCCUCAACUGUCUCUGGUUUUUUUUGGUGAACUUGAAUUGGAUGUGUAAAUGCUUCCAUGGGUAAGAAAGACGAGAAGACCCCGUGAAGUUAGAAAUUAAAGCUGUAAAGGUUAGUCCUCCAAGCCGAUUAGGCCAAAAAUUGAAAAAUAGCUUUUCGUGGGUUUAGUCUACGAAUUAGUUAAAGUGGGGGGGUACGGUGGUGGUUUUGGCUGGGGCAGCAAAAGAGCAAAACUAGACUCUAUUUAGUUAAAAAACGGAUACGUGACGAUCCACACACAUUUUUAAAUUUUUGUGAUAAGCAGAAGAAGUUACUCCGGGGAUAACAGCGUAAUCUACCCUGAUAGUUCUUAUAGAUGGGCGGGUUUGCGACCUCGAUGUUGGCUCUGGAUAUCCUAAGGCUUGCAGGCGGUCUUUAGGGUUGGUUCGUUCGCCCAUGAAAAUCCG